rnacentral:lncRNA from 1 species
GUCUCCUGCGCCAGGUGCCUCCAGCUGGGUCCGGAAUGUGGAUGGUGUGUUCAAGAGGAUUUUGUUUCAGGUGGAUCAAGAAGUGAACGUUGUGAUACUGUUUCCAAUUUGAUAAGCAAAGGCUGUCCAGUUGACUCAAUAGAAUACCUUUUUCAACCGGGUGUCUAUUCUUCACAACCAAUUUCAGUACAACUGUGUAACUCAUUGGCAUAAAAGAAGAAAAAAAAACACUGCAAUUAUCAAGGAUAGAAAUCAAGUGAUUUCUGACUUUACUGACUUUACACAUACAAAUGUGAUUCUGAAAACAUGUCUGCACAAUGACAAGUAUGGUACGUAGAUUUUUAUUGAAAUAUUGAGUAAAAUUAUUUUCAUUCUAAAUUAUAAGAAACUACAAAU